AAAAGAACUCUUAUAUACAGGAGUCCGGGCGCCAUCUCGGUCUUUCAAGAGUAGGAAUCGCGUUUCUGGAGGAAUGGUGCUAGGCACGGACGCAACGUGGCUUUUGAUGGCAUUUUAUAGACAGUUAUGUGCCAAGGAGGGAUGAAAAUGGCUGCCGAGGUCCUAAAAACAAGCUUUUCGCGAUAACCUGGGCACACAGGCACUAAACAGCUGAAAGUUGAUGUGGUGUGAAGUCUGACUUGUCUGGACCAUUUUUUUUUUUUAACCACUGGUUUCACGUUUUUUCCAAUGGAUGGCUUGGGUAAGAACAUGAAGUCAGUUCUUAGGCAUUUUAUGGUUUUAUUUCUGAAAUGCCUUAACUGAUUGUUAGGAUGUGCUUUGUAAGACAAAAGUCUUACAGUGAGUAAUUAACGUUAUUUAUGUGGAAAAGUAAGCGAUAUUCAAUCAAACACUUUUUUUCAGGUGCAGAUUUUGGAGACCUUUUAAAUAAAGGUGUGAAUAAUCUGCUUGGCCAUGAUACAUGGAGCACGAAAUUUCAAUCAAAAGGAAUGAGAACUCCUAUGUGAAGUGCAGGUUAGUUUACAAAUGUUAGGAAGUUUUUAUGGCAUAAAUACAUCUUAAACUAGAUUGUACCAGAUGGAUUGAUUUAGCUGUUUUAAAAAGUGAAAUUGAGUAGGGUAAAUUUUAAAUGUUUUUUCUCUUCAAACAGGUUAUUUUCCGUUAUCCUGAAAACUUCAAGGGCUUUUAUGACUAUAGCAAGCAUGCAGCUUACCCAUUGAAAGAUGAGAACGGAUGAACCGAAUCCUCCAUCAACUGACCAGUCUUCAGGGGCAAGCAUUUUCCCACAUUUCUCACAUGAUUUGAUUAUCUCUGUCCUAAGUGAAUAACUUACUAUCUCGGUAUAAAAAACAUGAUUAGAAAACAACUAAGCCACUGUAUUACUACUGCAAAGAGCCAUCUUUCACGCCUCUCGAAGUGAAAAGGAACUUCAAAAAUGUCUCAAUCAAAAAAACCCCUGAUGAUGGG